AUGGUAGAUAGGCCAGGUGUGGAAGAGCCGUGAGGUUUGGAGCUGACUGGUACUAAUCGAUCGAGGGCUUUACUUA
rnacentral:rRNA from 1 species